rnacentral:rRNA from 1 species
GACGAACGCUGGCGGCGCGCUUUAUGCAUGCAAGUCGAACGGACCUUCGGGUCAGUGGCGGACGGCUGAGUAACGCGUAGGCAAUCUGCCCAGUGGUGGGGGAUAACUCGCCGAAAGGUGAGCUAAUACCGCAUAAGUUCGGUGGUUGAAAUACCACCGAGGAAAGCAGCAAUGCACCACUGGAGGAGCCUGCGUCCUAUCAGGUAGUUGGUGGGGUAACGGCCUACCAAGCCGAUGACGGGUAGCUGGUCUGAGAGGACGACCAGCCAGGAAGGGGACUGAGACACGGCCCCUACUCCUACGGGAGGCAGCAGCAAGGAAUCUUGGGCAAUGGGACGAAAGCCUGACCCAGCGACGCCGCGUGAGGGAUGAA